GCCCCGCCCUUCCUCCCCCUCCCCAUUGUAAAUAGAAUGCCCUCAGUGGGGAAGGGAUGAUGGGAGUUGCAGUCAAGUCAGGCCAGAAGAGAUGUGCCUCCUGGGUUGGCAUCGUAUAUACAGCCUUUAUAAACGGCACAUUUUUGACUCAGAUCGGCCUGACUUGCUAUGAGGACAGAAUGGGAAGGAAAAGAGCCAGGCUGCAGCCUUCAAUUUGUGGCAAUCAAUAGAAAGAACAAGAGGAAUCCUCUCUCCUCUGCGGGAGUCUGCCAUAUACCAUGCAGCUGUGAACAAAUCUACAUAGGGACCGCCAAAUGCAGCAGCAUGGCCCAAACAUGAAUCAAGGAACAUGAAAGGCACUGCAGACUUAACUCAACCAGAGAAGACAGCCAUAACAGGGCACUUGAUGAACCAACCUGGAUACAGCAUAUUAUUUGAAAACACAGAAAUGCUGGACCGCUCUAACCACCACCAUGUCAGACUACACAGAGAAGCCAAUGUGGCUGAUUUCAACAGAAAGGAGGAAACCAUAAAAAUGAACAAAAUCUGGCUACCAGUAUUAAAAAAUUCUAAACUCAGUACAGUAAAUAAAGAACAACACUCUGAAAACAGGGGAAUUUCAGACAUGAAACAAUCAGGGCUAGCUAAUACCUCCCAACAAAGGAUGCCCCCAGGCAAAAUGCAGCCAGACUUUGAAUCCUCAAGGCAAUUAAAUGCUAAUCAAGCUGGCCAAUUGCAACAUUCACACCUGCCUCAAAUAGACAAGAGUUCUUUCCCCCAACCUGGAUUUUGCACAGAUAAAUAAAUCCCACUUGCCUAGUUUCCCAACAGAACUCGCAACUUCUGAGGAUGCCUGCCAUAGAUAUGGGUGAAGCGUCAGGAGAUAGUGCUUCUGGAAAACUCACAGCAACCCAGUGACUCUGGCCAGGAAAGGCUUUGGCAACAAUAAAAAGGUAGUAAAUAAAAAAAACAAGAGCCAAGGCAGACAAGCAACAGCUGAUUUCCUCUCCUUGCAGUUUCUAGGUGGAAAGAGAAAGAGGCACUUAGAAAAAAAGGGGCGGGGAGAGAGAAUUGGUGUGGGCAGCACAAACAUUCGUAGGGAAAUUGUGGUUUUGGACCUCAGGCAUUUGUAAGAAAUUGAUUCGAAACAAGUCUUUCUGUUUUUACAAAGAGCAUAGGGAAGAUAACACUAAGAAUAAAAAUGCUAAAUGGAACCGAAGCAGACAAGAAAGAUUACUUUUUGUGAGUAAUCUGGAACAGAGACAAUAUCCACAUGUGUUCUCCCAUCUCGCUUGUUGUGAAUUACUGUAGACCACAGCUUUCCAAACACUUUGUAGACAGGCAUCAUUUCAGAAAACAGUGCUUCAAUUUUACUAAAAAAUUGGAAGUUAAACAAACUCCUUAUAAGACACACAAAUAAAUUGUAAUAACAAAAUGUACGGGCACAAAAUAUGUCUCAUGAAAACCUUUCAUUUGUAUGUUUGAAGAUAUAUGAUUUGUAAGACAAGAAUAUAGAAUCCCUUAUACAGUAUUCCAAAAUACUUCGAAUUGUCCACAUAGAUGUUUGCGGUAAUAACACCUUUGCUUUCUGAUCACUCAAUAUACACAAAACUUGUUUCGGGCACAAAAUUAUUUUUUAAAAUGUUGUAUAAAAUUACCUUCAGGUUGUGUCUAUAACAGUGAUUCCCAAACUUAUUUGGACUAUUUUUUGAACUUAGAAUAGAAAGGUAAUACAAAAAUAGUUAAAACAUUCAAAUGCACCUGUGGCCAUCACCGCCCACCUAGAUCGCUGCAGCGCCCACCAGGGGUGAUAGCACCCACUUUGGGAAUAACUGGUUUACAAGGUGUACUUGAAACAUAUGAAUGUGUUGUCGAAGGCUUUCAUGGCCAGAAUCACUGGGUUGCUGUGAGUUUUCGGGCUUUAGGGCCAUGUUCCAGAAGCAUUCUCUCCUGGUGUGGGCAAAACAUCAGGAGAGAAUGCUUCUGGAAUAUGGCCAUACAGCUCAGAAACUCACAGAAAUCCAACAUAUAUGAAUGUUGUGUUCGACCUGGGUCUCAUCUCCAAGAUAUCUCAUUAUGUACGUAUAUGGGAAUACAGAAAUUCAAAAAUACCCCCAAAAAAUUAUGACAGCCAAAAUGCUUUUGAUGCCAAGUAUUUUGGAUAAGAGAUACCCAAUUUUCAAAAGCUCAAGUUGCAAACUGAUCUUUUUCCAUUCCUUAGGGACAGAUGGCGCUCUUCACUAAAAAAAAUAAUCAUAUACAACUCUAUUACUGAGGGAUGGUAUCAGGGUAAAGCAGAUAGAUUGAUGCUGUCUGCCACUUCUGUUAAGGUAUCAACGUUUUUAACUGGCCAAAUCAUUAUAAUUGUUACAAAGUGUAUAAGAAAUAAUAAAAUUUCCUUCAGAUGCAUGAGGAGCUCCAGCUGAACUUUCAGCAAAAUGACAUAUGAGAGAUACGGCCAAUUUCUCAGCAGUUUUCAACGUUUCCGACUUAAAGGGAACUAACUCUCAGGACCAAGAAUCUAGGAAAAACAGAGUUAUUGCUUUCACACUUUGAGACUAGCUUGACAGAUCUGUAUCAUCUUGGAGAAGUCUUUGAAACUUUAUAUCCAGGGUCACAAUUUGCAUCUUUCUAUAUCCAAUUACAUCUCUACCUCAACUGUAUAACUGCAAUACAACUAUGUUUUUAACAUUAGCUCAACCAAUGUAUCUGAAGAAGUGGAUUGAAGUCUACAUAAAUUUGUACUAUAAUAUUGGUUAUUCUUAAAGGUAUUGCCAGAUUUUUCUUUUCUUGCUUACACUUUCAUGUUUAUACAGCAGAUUAUGAACUAUUCAUCAUAUUGGAAAGCUGCUGAGCUAUUUCUAGCAUAGCAUCAGUGAUGUCUUCUUUAGAUGUGCUUCAUUGUAGUGGUGUUGCUGCUGUUUUUAAAAAGAUGUUUAUUUAAGCACAGCAGAUUCAUUUAUGAUGUAUAAAAUUAUAAUUAUAAUUGCAUGGGGAAUUGUUGCUUUCCCAGAUACAGAGAUAAAAGGUGUCUUACUGCUCUUUACUAAAGGUGCAUCUGCACUGUGGAAUUAAUGCAGUUUGACACCACUUUAGCUGCUAUGGCUAGAAGCUAUGAAAUCCUGGAAGGUGUGGUUUUACAGUGUCUUUAGUCUUUCCUCACAAAUAGUGCUAAUGCCUCACCAAACUACAGUUCCCAUGAUUCCAUAGCAUUGAAUCAUGGCUGUUAAAGUGAUUCAAGCUGCAUUAAUUCUACAGUGUAGAUGGAUCCUAUGAUGUCCUAACCAAGUGAAAAAAUAUAUAGUGGCAAUCCAAUCAGUAAUACAAUGAAUGCUUACACAGGGAAUAAUUGCCUAUGCAUUGCUUUGUACCACUUGCCACAUUAUCAAAAUAAAUAUAAAUCGCUUUAGUGUUACAGAUGCAGAAUGAUUCUGCAGAAGAUACUGGAAAAAUAACAUCACAAAGAAUGGCUUUUUCAUUUUGUUUGUUGUAUUUUUAUUCUAUGAUCAUGGGGCACAGGGUCCAGAUAUUGCUACAUACUAGUAGUAAAGUCAGCAGAUUCCCAGAUGCAUACACAUGGGGUUUUUUAAUUGAUUAUUAUUAUUAUUAUUAUUAUUAUUAUUAUUAUUAUUAAGCCUUUUUCAGAUGCAGAUGAGUUUUUUUCCCCCUAAGCAAACUUACUUUUCUGCACGAUAAUAUGUUUGCUACCUGGUGGCUUCCAUUUGAAGGUGGUGCCAAAUCCAUCUUGCAUUUUAAUUUAUACUUCAGCAGGGAUAGGUAAGAUGCUAAAUUUAAUCCACCAAUAAAUUCAGCACCUUGGAUAGAUCCUCCAAAGUCUGGAAUAAACUCCACAGUAGAUUUGCCACAUGCAGACAUGGGCUCUCUAUUUUGAAAGCAAAAAGAAACAAGAAGCAAAUGCAAAGUUCUGUGUUUUUCAAAAUGUUCAAGUCUCUGAAAAAGUCAGCAACUAUAAAUAGUGUUUAUUUAUAUUUUAUAUGUAUUGUAAUACUUGGUUUUAUUUAUAAUAGCAAACAGAAAGCAAAAAGUAUAUCUGUUUUGACUUAAAUCAGAACAUACUGAUUAUUUGAACCAUAAGCUGAUAAGUAGAGCCAUGCUUAUGCUCUGCAGUCUCUUUCAAAAUUGGUUCUGUUUAUGGUUUAGAGUGUUGCGAGCUUUUUCAGAAGUGUGAAUGUUUUGAAAGGCACAGAAUCCGUUUGUUUUUUUUAAAGGCCUAGAUUCAGCUUCAGACUUCUGGUGAAAGGAUGUUUCAAUUGCCUUUUCUUAGAACUACUUCUCAUGGCAAACUGUUUAAGGAGAUGAUUCCUUUUCUCUCUUUUUCCAAUAUUUGUAAUUAUACUCUUGCUGUAACAAAAAAUAUAAACCUCUCUUGAAUUUUUUUAUUAUAAUUAAUUUAAUUGCAAUACAACCCCCAUAUUUGUGUGAUGUAAGUUCUUGCAUUCACAGUGGAAAAGUAAAAUUAUGGAUAGUAGUAAAGUACACUGAAAUGAACUUCUGGUAUAAGCAUACCAGAUAAUUGCACUUGAAAACCAAGAAAAUACCUAGAGAUGACAGGAGCGGCAUGGGAAAACAAAGCCAUGAGUACAAAUCCUGCAGAUACAGGGAGUUCUGUAAUUAAUGAAUACAGUGGGAACUUUGGUAUCUACUGGGCUUGGUUCCAGGUUGUCUCAUGGAUACUAAAAUCUGUGGUUGCUCAAGUCUCAUUAUAUACAAUAGUGUAGUAAAAUGGUGUCCCUCAUUAAAAACAGCAAAAUCAA